rnacentral:lncRNA from 1 species
GGCAAGGCAUAGAAAUUUUACCACUUCAUGUGAGUGGAAUUUCUUACAAACUCCAUUAGAGUUAUAAUCAAAAUUUGUUGUCUUUGUUUGCAUAUGAAAUCAAAUCGUAGAAUUUCAAGAAUUUGAAAGAGAAAAUUAAAAUACUUACCUUUAAUGUAUAUUAAAUCAAAUCGUAGAAUUUCAAGAAUUUGAAAGGGAAAAAUAAAUUACUUACCUUUAAGGUAUACCAAUAAAUUUUGUGAUAUUAAAUAUACCUCUUGAGUUUCCAUCCCGUUGCAUUACUUUAUGAUGAUACCAUCUCUUCUCUUUGGGUUCUCUAGCAGGUGGAAGACCAACAAUUUCUUGCACAGCUUAUUUUGGUGAUCGGGUUACUGAUGCCGUUAGGAUUCUUCCAUAUUCAGAAAACACAUCUGCAAUGCGAUGACCAGAGCUUGUGUGGACUCUAUCAUGUAAUAAAUAUACUGCUCCAUGAGCAAGGAGUGAGACUGGUUUGAUUCUUCAAAAAUCAGUUACCUCCAUCACGC